AUUGAACGCUGGCGGCAGGCCUAACACAUGCAAGUCGAGCGAGCGGCGGACGGGUGAGUAAUGUCUGGGAAACUGCUUGAUGGAGGGGGAUAACUACUGGAAACGGUAGCUAAUUCCGCAUACCAUCAGAUGUGCCCAGAUGGGAUUAGCUAGUGGGUGGGGUAACGGCUCACCUAGGCGACGAUCCCUAGCUGGUCUGAGAGGAUGACCAGCCACACUGGAACUGAGACACGGUCCAGACUCCUACGGGAGGCAGCAGUGGGGAAUAUUGCACAAUGGGCGCAAGCCUGAUGCAGCCAUGCCGCGUGUGUGAAGAAGGCCUUCGGGUUGUAAAGCACUUUCAGCGAGGAGGCGUUACCCGCAGAAGAAGCACCGGCUAACUCCGUGCCAGCAGCCGCGGUAAUAC
rnacentral:rRNA from 1 species